UCCCGUGUGGCUCAGUUGGUAGAGCAUGGUGUUUGCAACGCCAGGGUUGUGGGUUCGACUCCCACGGGGGAA
rnacentral:tRNA from 1 species